ACCCAUCCCCUUGGGGAGCAGUGGGCAGCCGCCGCGCCGCGCCCGGGAAUCAUUUUGGUGAUUUAACCCCCAACUCCAACCCUUGAUGCUGAGUGCCAAGCAGGGAGGAACUCGCAUGGCUGCGGUUUUUGUGACCCCAAGAUGCAGGAACCAGGAGGACAAAGAGCAGGCGUCAACACAAAGCCUGUUUGGGCUACAAACACACGGAUCCUGCAGCUCUGAGGAUGGCGAUGGCGUUCUGCAUCAACCUGCACGCACCUGACACUUGCAGCAAGAUAAGAUUACAGGCUCGUCUGCAGGCGGCCUAAUGAGAAGAAGAAGAAGGACACGUCACACAAUCACGUGGAAGUGAGUUCACUUCCUGUUUGGCUCCACCACUCCGGCCUGAGCGCCGUCUCUGAUUGGCCAUCAAGACACUCACCUGCUCCUGAUCACUAAUCAGAGAGUUCCAGUACGUGUGGCAGCUUAUCAAGACUCUUCUUACCUGCACGUCGUCUCCAGUGUGCACACCUUGAGGUGACAACCGCCGCAGCCUCACCAGGGACACAAAAGGGGCCAAAUCCUCGGGAAGGGCACAGGUCAAAGGUUAAGCCGAUGAUGGUUUGAGUUUGUGGCGAA